rnacentral:lncRNA from 1 species
UUACAUCUGGCCUUACUUUAUUGACUGUGCCGCAAAUAGGUCAUUUUCUGCUCGUUUUUAACUUAUAGCAUCCCAAUUGCAUUCCUGACAAGAUUAAAACAUAAAAUCACUAAUUUGGCAGGGAUCAAUUCAAGAAUUAACCGAUUUAAACACAAAAAUCAUGCAAAUUUAACAUGUUAUCAAAUCCCCCUACUUAGCUCAUGCUUGCCCUCAAACAUAUUGUACUUUUAUACAUUAGAAAUUAUUCAAUAAUUUAUUAAAAAUCAGACCUCUUUUCUCCAUACAUAAUCAGUGCAAACAAUAUAGGCAAAAAAUAAAUAAGUGCUCAAAAUACCUAGUUUGAUCAACAAAUGUCCAUAAUUUUGAAACAUGUAAACUAAAUUAUUUCACUAAAUGAAGUGUGUACCAAAAUUUGGAAAUCAUAUUUUUUUUCAUUUUCAGUUCAAUCUUAAAUCCCAGUUUACACAGCUUUACAAAACACACACACUCUCUCUCUUCAAAAUUUCGAGAUUAUAUAAUUUAACCAUCUUAUCAAAUUUUCCUCAAAUUAGUCCCUAAUUUUAGAAUAAUUAAACUUUCAUAUUCUGUUUUUUAGAAUUGUAAAUUCUCAAACCAUGUAAAUUAGUUCUAAAACUCAUGUUUUGAAAUAAACCUUUCAAUUUUCAUAUUUCAUAAUCAUAUAAUUUAGUACUACGUCAACUUUUUAGGUUUCACUACUCAACCUCUAGAAUUGUAAAAUUUUAACAAUUUUACAAUUUGGUCCUUACUUCAAUUUUUAUCAAAUAAAUCACUUAACAAAUUAUUUUUCAAUUUACUCAUCUAAAUAGUACUCAAAAUAGAUAUUUACCACAUUCGACAUGGUAAAUACACAUUCCAUCAUUCAAAAUAAUUAAUUUCAAAUUAAACUAUUCUUAGUAAAAACACCCUCACUUUCUUACUUUCAAUUAUUCACUUCAAAUCAUCCACCAAAUUAUUUGUAAAAUCAUUCACCAUUCACUUCAUACAUAAAUAUAAUACUUCCAUCACUUUGAACAUAAAAGAUAAUUAUAUACACUUAAUUAUUACAGUUUCACAUCAAAUUGUAUAAUCAAAUAAAUAUAACAUAAUAAUUUGAAAAACUUACCUUAAUUUCUCCACCUACCCAUACUCUCUUCCACUUCCAACAUCCAUCUUCAAGUUUUUUUCCUCAUCAAAUAUGAACUCCAACUAGCUUCACAAGAAACUUAUCUUGCCAUGGCGUUGUUCUCUUAUUUUCA